AGGUGCCGGCAAUGAGCCACGACCAGGUGGUGGAGGAGGAGCAUUAGGAGGCUGAGGUGCUGGCGGAGCUGAACCUGUUCGUCCAGAUCCUGGAGGAGGUGGAGGUGGUGGGGCUGAACCUGGUCGAGGAGGACCUGGAGGAGGCGGAGGUGGUGGGGCUGAACCUGGUCGAGGAGGACCUGGAGGAGGCGGAGGUGGUGGGGCUGAACCUGUUCGUGGAGGACCUGGAGGAGGUGGUGGAGGUGGUGGGCCUAAUCCUGUUCGUGUAGAACCUGGAGGAGGUGGCGGAGGUGGUGGGGCAGAUCCUGUUCGUGUAGAACCUGGAGGAGGUGGCGGAGGUGGUGGGGCAGAACCUGUUCGUGUAGAACCUGGAGGAGGUGGUGGGGCUGAACCUGUUCGUGUAGAACCUGGAGGUGGUGGCGGAGGUGGUGGGGCUGUACCUGUUCGUGUAGAACCUGGAG
rnacentral:lncRNA from 1 species